AACAAACAGACAGUAGACGAGAAACCGAACACAACAAGAAGAAGAUGAAAAUGGCGAGUGCAAGUAAACCAGAAUCUUUUGUAUGGACCAGUCAUGAGAUCGAACUGCUGCUGCGACUCACAUUCAACUACAAGACAUGGACGUGGCAGGCAGCACAGGAGGAGAACACGAGACAAGUCACGAGGAAAGAUCGCUGGAGAGUCUCCGGAAGAGACGGAACAAUCUGGUGCCACGGUGAAGUGGAGAGCAGGGUCAUGAAGUGGCUGUUGAUGAGUGUGAUGAAGCUCAGGUGCGUCUCUCUGCUGCAGCGGGAGGCCACGCCCACCAGCACCUGCACUGUGAAGGAGCAGGCGAGGGAAGCAAACCAGGCUGACACACCUGCUCGUGUUCAGUCACUUCACCGAGUCAGAAUAUUUGUAAUAUUCAAAUGGGAGAUCUUCUCACUCGCUGUGUGUUGGAUGAAGGUUAUGUUGUCACCUGGGAGACUUUUAAUGAGUCCACUCUGGAGGUGAAGUCGUACCUGAGGCCACUGAUGAUGAAGCAUUUGUCUCUCCGCUGUUUGAAAAAAACAGAACCGGAGAUAAAGCUCAGAUGACGACGAUCGAGGUGCCAUCCGAGUAUUGGGACUGAUGAGGAAGAAGAAGAGGAAGUAUGACGCUCUUCCGCAGAAACAGGACUGCGCCACGACGACCACGAGACCCUGUGCCGCCGCCGCGGUGUUGCUUCAAUUCAUUCACUGUGUGACAGUCUAUUUCAAUAAUCUACAUCCGUAUAGCCAUAAGGCAGAGAUGGGCUGAGCCUGAGCAUAUCUAAAGGUGCAGUGUAAUCCUGUAAUAUGCAGAGUAGUGAGGAAAAUUCAUUCUCCCCUCACGCCCAUCGGGGUCUUAAGCCCCCUGAUGCAGCUGAUAGAGAUCCAGUGUUAUCUCCGCAACACAGAACAAUUUAACACACUCACCCCCCCCCCACACCACACACACACACACACACACACACACACACACACACCAGAAAUCAACCCUUCGACCACCGUCAGUAUAUGCACAUGCACAUUUGCACACAGCUGCUUUGUGUCAAAAGGGAAUAUUCAAAUGUACGUCAACUCUCAUUCGCUCAGUGUUUCUGUGUCUGGACCUCUGCAGAGCUACAGCACACACACACGCGCGCACACACACACACACACACACACACACACACACACACACACACACACACACACACACACACACUAGUCACUUCCUCUGACCCUGUCCUCAUCAUGGACCUCCAUACCUCAGAUUCAUCUCAGAAGAGAAAAUGCCACAAAUGUCUCUUCAGUUUCGUUCAUGUCCUUCCUCCAUUAUCUUCAAAAUAAAACACAAACUGUGUGUUGAAUCAUCAAAUGGGUUUUAUGUGAGAGAGUGGAGAGGAUGCAGGAGGAGGAAAAAUAAAUAAGUGGUGCUGAAAAGAAAGAAGAGGUGAAGAGAGGGAAGGAGGGAGGUGAGGAACUGAGAAGAGAAAGGAAGGAAAUGAAAGGGGAAGAG